CUUAUAUACUUUUGAAAAAUUUAUGAUUUUUAUAUUUAUCUUUCUUAAAAGGCUAAUAUUCAAAAAUACUCUUUUAAAGUUUCAAAGUCUUUCAAAUAUAUUCUAAGAGUUAAAUCUAUUAGUGAACGGUUAGGAAGAGCCUUUGUUUCUGUAAAAUUACCAUGUUGCCUUUUCAAAUAUACCCUUCUAUCGUUACCAACUUUUCUUAUUUACCCUUAAUUUAAGCAAAAAAAGUAUUUUGAGUUUUUGCUUUUUCAAAUAUAUUUUUUUACCGUCACCAAUUUUUCUUAUUUGGCCUUAAAUUAGAAACAAAAUAGAUAUUUUUAUUAUUUUUUAACUAUGGUAGAAAUUUGACUCAGGUUUAACCCAAGAUGACUUAACGAACACUAACAACAAAAAUAUUUUUAAAUAACGAAAAAAUAUAUGAGGAACAUAUUUGAAACAUAAAAAAAAAUAAGAAUAAAUAAAAUAUUUCAAAAGUUUUAAAAUGUAUAU
rnacentral:lncRNA from 1 species